GAGUAUGGAACAGCAACGGAGACCAAGGCCAUGGAGGAGAAUUGCUCCCCAAAAAAGAUUUGCGACAAGUACCAUGCAAUUCAUAGGGAGGUUUAUAAAUGGUUUAAUAUAAGUUUUGAUGAAUUUGGACGUACGUCAACUCCACAGCAAACUGAAGUUUGCCAGGCCAUUUUUAAGAAGUUGUUAGAGAACAAAUGGCUUUCUGAGAGCACAAUGCAGCAGCUAUUCUGUGAUACAUGCCAAAGGUUUUUAGCUGACCGGCUUGUAGAGGGUACUUGUCCAACUGAAGGAUGUAAUUAUGAUUCUGCUCGAGGAGAUCAAUGUGAAAAGUGUGGGAAGUUGUUGAAUCCAACAGAGUUAAAAGAUCCUAGGUGCAAGGUUUGU
rnacentral:misc_RNA from 1 species